UAGGGAUCAUACAAAUGUUAGUGUGAUUCAUACCCGACUUCAUGUGCGAGGUGUCAAAGAACUCACGAACCUCUGCGAUUAUAUCACAACCUAUGAUGUGCCAGUAAUGUUUAUAAAAUCGUGCAGUUAAUCCUCCGACCAAGAGGAGGUUCUGUUAUUACAUUAGUAAAUCCUAGAACAGAAGCAAAGUCAAAUACAGUAGAGCAAGCAUUCAUAGUUUCACACAAGAAAAGAACAUUAGGUUUACCAGCAUCGUUGGAAUCAACACCAUUCUCGCCGGAGCCACCAAAACUGUGUUGCUUCUCCAUUCUCGUCGUAUUUAACGCCAAUUUCAAUUUCUUGUUCUUCUUUCUAAUUAGAUUUCUACUUUUCAUUUUGGGGAUUAAGGAAGAUAUCUAUGUUGUGAAUCGAGAACACGAAGCAAUCUCAGAUUUGUGCAUCGUGAGCAGAUAUGCUUCAAUGUAUAUUUCUCCUCUCUGAUUCUGGAGAGGUAAUGAUAGAGAAGCAGCUUACAGGUCGUCGCGUUGAUCGAUCCAUAUGUGCUUGGUUCUAGGAUCAAUCUAUUAGUCAAGGGCCUCAAGGCUAUUCCUUUAAGGUUUAUAUAUAUUUGCUCGUGGCAGAUUUUCGUUGUGUCCAUUAAUGCCUCAUGAUUGACAUUGGUCUCAUUUUCACUCGUCAUCUCUUGUUGCUUUUGAGAUCCUCUUUGUUUACAUCUUGAAGAGAAAUAUGUUGUUGACUAAAAGAUUGUCUUCCUACCGUUGUUUGCAUUUGAGGUAGCAAUUUUGAUAGACGUUGUCACCCAUUCCAUUCAAUGCCUCAAGAAAAGGCCGAAAGGCCAACAUGUACAACCUACUUAACUUCUGGUUCCUAUAGAAUAUCACGAAACUGUUGUUUUUCCUCUGCUUACAUUUGUUAGCUAUCUACUCCUGCAAAUAAAAAUGUAAAAUAAGAUUUAUAUCUGUGAGAAUCUUCAUAGUCUUUCCUUCAAAGUUCUGGUGCCUUUGAAGUUAGGUGCAGUUAUCUUUCUCUUACGACAUGUAUGGCUGCAACAUCCUAUUAUUCUUUUAUCUUAAUCUCUCAGCA